rnacentral:rRNA from 1 species
UACGGGGGGGGCAAGCGUUGUUCGGAAUUACUGGGCGUAAAGGGCUUGUAGGUGGCCAACUAAGUCAGACGUGAAAUCCCUCGGCUUAACCGGGGAACUGCGUCUGAUACUGGAUGGCUGGAGUGUGGGAGAGGGAUGCGGAAUUCCAGGUGUAGCGGUGAAAUUCGUAGAUAUCGGGAGGAACACCAGUGGCGAAGGCGGCGACCUGGACAGAUAUUGACGCUGAGGUGCGAAAGCGUGGGGAGCAAACAGG